UGACUGCGUAUCCCCGUAUCAUUGAAAAAUAAUAGUUACCCAUUCUCCUCUUAAACUACUCAAAUAAUUACGUCAUUUUAAUGACUGCGUAUCCCCGUAUCAUUGAAAAAUAAUAGUUAUCCAUUCUCCUCUUAAACUACUCGAAUAAUUACGUCAUUUUAAUGACUGCAUAUCCCCGUAUCAUUGAAAAAUAAUAGUUAACCAUUCCCCUUUUAAACUACUCGAAUAAUUACGUCAUUUUAAUGACUGCGUAUCCCCGUAUCAUUGAAAAAUAAUAGUUACCCAUUCUCCUCUUAAACUACUCGAAUAAUUACGUCAUUUUAAUGCCUGCGUAUCC